rnacentral:rRNA from 1 species
AACGAACGCUGGCGGCGUGCUUAACACAUGCAAGUCGAACGCGAAAGGGACUUCGGUCCUGAGUAGAGUGGCGCACGGGUGAGUAACGCGUAAGUAAUCUACCCCUGCAUUCGGAAUAACCCACCGAAAGGUGAGCUAAUACCGGAUACGUUUAUCUUGAUGCGAAUGAUGAUAAAGAAAGGUGGCCUCUUCAUGAAAGCUACUGUGCAGGGAUGAGCUUGCGUACCAUUAGCUAGUUGGUAGGGUAAUGGCCUACCAAGGCGACGAUGGUUAGCGGGUCUGAGAGGAUGAUCCGCCACACUGGAACUGGAACACGGACCAGACUCCUACGGGAGGCAGCAGUGAGGAAUAUUGCGCAAUGGGGGCAACCCUGACGCAGCGACGCCGCGUGGAUGAUGAAGGCCCUUGGGUCGUAAAAUCCUGUCAGAUGGAAAGAAAUGUAUAUGUGCUAAUAUCGCAUAUAUUUGACGGUACCAUCAAAGGAA